GCCGCAUUAGUUCAGUGGAAGAACAUCGGUUUUACACACCGAGUGUCGGGAGUUCGAUUCUCUCAUGCGGUAC
rnacentral:tRNA from 2 species